UGAGGGCGGGGGGUGUGGCUCAGGUGGCAGAGUGCUUGAGGUGCCAGCCCGAAGGAAGCCCUGGGUUUCACCACCAGUGCUGUAUAAACUGGGCAUGGCGAUGCAGGCCUGCGAUCCCAAACACUCAGGACAUGGACCAGGAGGAUCAGAAAUUCUAGGCCAACCUGAGCUACAUGAGAUCCGGUGUCAAACUGCCAGGGCAUCAAUGAGAAGAGGCAUCCAGAAGACUGGGUGUGGUGGCACGCACAUGUGAUUCCAGCACUCAGGAGCUGAAGAACUGACAUCAUGAAGAAUCCUGGAUAAUGGUCGCUGUUCCAGGAGCUAUGGUGAUGAGCAAUACAGAUGAGGAGACAGUUUCACAGAAGAAACCAUCACCUUCCACGGGCCACAACUACCCAGUAGCAGAAUAACGUGAAUGCUGACGUCCAGAACACACUGGCUGCAGGUGGAAAUCCAAUCCAUAAAACUGAAUUGAAGCUGGGUGUAGUGGCAUGCAUCUAUAAUCCCAGCACGGGGGAGGAUGA